ACCCAUUUUAUUUUUCUUCUUCACCUCCGAAACCACCAAAAGCGAAGAGGGAAGCCAUUGUUUGAAGCUUUAAAGGUUCGGCCCUAUGCAUGGUAAGUUUAAAUUGAUCUGUUUUUCUUAAAUUUUAUAUUUUUAAGAUCAUGGUAGCUCGAUUUAGAUAACUCGUGUAUUAAAUUACAAAAUUAUUAAAGUUUACAAAAGUUACCAUUGUUGAAUCUUAAAGCUUUUGGUACUAAAUUGUUAGAUUUUAAGCUUAGAUUGAAAAAGAACUAGUUUUUAAAAUGAAAAAUGUUAGCUUUGAACUUAGGGACUAAAAUGCAAUAAUUUCAAUUUUGAUGUGAAAUUUUUAUAAAUAUAGUUAUUAGAGGAUUGUAGAAGGAUGGAAUUGAGAUUGAUUUUGCAAUCGAGGCUCAAAUUUUAAAAUUAUAGCUAUUUCAAUUUUAGGGACUAAAUUGAAUAAAUUACAGAACUUUAGGAAACUUUUGAAAAGUGAACUUGAAUUCACUUAUGGUUAUAAUAGAAUGUUAAAAUAUGUUUAGAAUUGAUAAAUUGUAAUGAAUUAUUAUAGAUCGGGAUUGGAAUCAACUGGAAGAUAAUUGAAGAAGACAAAAUUUUAGAUUAGUCUUUGAUGUCUUGUUAGUUGUUGUUUUUAUCAGGUAAGUUCAUGUGAGAGUUACUCUAUUAAUUGAUGACAUAUCUAUAUUAUAUAUAUUAUUUUUAGUUUAAUUUUUAUGUAUAGAAAAUGUUUGACAUAAAACAGGACUAAAUCGAAAUAUAUUAUACGAUAAAUAUGAAUGGAUACAUAAUAUCUAAUGGAUGUAAAAUUGUUAUACAAAGGGACAAUAUGUACAUGUUGAUACUGUAAUGUUUAAAAGGUAUAUGGAUUGUUAUUGUAACAUGACAAGUGUUUACAAUAGUAGAAACGGAAAUGAUACAAAUUCAACAAUAGGCCCGUGUGAAUUUAGUAAACAAUUGAGAUAGGAAUGUCAUGUCAUUAUGAUUCCAGAAAGGAAAAUGGGUGUUGUGAUCAGGGAUUAAUCUGAUGGUUGAGAUCUAGCAUAUGUUGUGGAUUCUCGACAGCUUGAGUGAAUAACAUCAAAUCUUUCUUAAUUGAUGGUUGAGAUCCAACACAUGUUGUGGAUUCUUGACAACUUGGGUGAGCAACAUCAAAUCUUUCUUUAUCAAUGGCUAAAAUCCAGUAUAUGUUGCGGGUUCCUGACAGCUUAAGUGAGUAACACCAAAUCUUUCUUAAUUGAUGGUUGAGAUCAAACACAUGUUGUGAAUUCUCGACAACUAGAGUGAGCAACAUCAAAUCUUUCUUUAUCAAUGGCCAAGAUCCAAUAUAUGUUGUGGAUUCUCGACAACUCAAGGGAGUAGCACUAAUUAAAGCUUCUAUAAAUAGAUCAGCUCUAUAGCUUGUGGGAGUAGAUUAAUCUCAUCUAUCUGAAGUUAAAUUACUAUAGUUCUCCAGACAGAAAACGAAAAUUAAAUGGUAAUAAAAUGAUUCAAUGUGGAUUCCCUUGAUAAGUGUAUAUAUUGAACAAUGUUAAAUAGUAUGAAGUAAAGUUGAACAAUGUUAAAUAGUAUGAAGUAAAGUAGUUUGGUUGUACAUGUAUGUGGAAAUUAAUACCAUAAUCUUGUUAUGUGCGAUAUUUACCUAUAGGUUGUCUUAUGGAAUGGUUUAUGAAUAGAUUUAUAAGGAUUCCAAGGAUAUGUCAUGCCUUUGUGCUACAAUUAUUUAAAUUGUUAUAAUGAGAAGGUAAGUAAGUUGAUUUUUUAUGAACUUACUAGGGAUACAUAAGGCUUACUCUGUUGUGUUUUCUUUGUUUGUAGUUGUCGUUUACUGGACGAGGAGAUCGGAUCACUUCGAAGCUCACACUAUCAAGCCUUUGAUUUGGCAGUCUUUUAAACAUUUUGGACUCGUUUAUGUGGCAUGUCUGUAGGUAUUGUUGUCGUCAUUAAUUGAAUUUGUUGAGAUUUAUGUCUUAAAGAGUUCAAUUAAACAUUUAUCAAAAAAGAUUGUAUACCUAUACAAUCAAUUUCUUCAAACCCACUCCACCGUCACAUCAAUAACACAUGUUCUACAGCUUCAACUUCGUUUAGCCAAUUUGGACAUAUAGAGAUCUCAUUCAACUUCCUCUUCCGUAGGUUAUCAUUAGUGGUAAUAUGGCUACCACAUGGUCUCUAAAUGAAGUCUUUCACCUUAUUAGGAAUGUCAAGUCCCAAAUUGAUUAACUCAGUUUUCAGAGUGUACAACCCCAUUUUCAAUUAUAGCCAACUUGACCUUAUCUUCCUCUUGGGCACAUAAAGGUAUAGCAUUAUUGAAAUGAGCUUAUCAACAGUAAUAAUAAUUUGAAUCUGCUGCAUAUUCGAAGUUUCUGUCUUAACAUAAAUUAUUUUAGAAACCUUUAUACAUAAACAAUUAUAAUAAAAAAA
rnacentral:lncRNA from 1 species